rnacentral:rRNA from 1 species
AUUGAACGCUGGCGGAAUGCUUUACACAUGCAAGUCGAGCGGCAGCGCGGCCUUCGGGCUGGCGGCGAGCGGCGAACGGGUGAGUAAUGCAUCGGAACAUGCCCAGUCGUGGGGGAUAACACUUCGAAAGAAGUGCUAAUACCGCAUACGUCCUGAGGGGGAAAGCGGGGGAUCGCAAGACCUCGCGCGAUUGGAGUGGCCGAUGUCAGAUUAGCUAGUUGGUGGGGUAAAGGCCUACCAAGGCGACGAUCUGUAGCUGGUCUGAGAGGAUGAUCAGCCACACUGGGACUGAGACACGGCCCAGACUCCUACGGGAGGCAGCAGUGGGGAAUUUUGGACAAUGGGGGCGACCCUGAUCCAGCCAUUCCGCGUGAGUGAAGAAGGCCUUCGGGUUGUAAAGCUCUUUCGGCAGGAACGAAACGGUGGGCUCUAACAUAGUCCGCUAAUGACGGUACCUGAAGAAGAAGCACCGGCUAACUACGUG